rnacentral:rRNA from 1 species
AUGAAAGGCCCUUGGGUCGUAAACUGCUUUUAUAUGUGACGAAUAUGACGGUAGCAUAUCGAAUAAGGAUCGGCUAACUCCGUGC